CCUACGGGGGGCAGCAGUAGGGAAUAUUUCUCAAUGGGCGAACCCCUGCAGCAGCAACGCCGCGUGGAGGAUGAAUGUUUUCGGAUUUUACACUCCUUUUGUUAGUGAAGAUAAUGACGGUAUCUAACGAAUAAGCACCGGCUAACUCCGGGCCAGCAGCCGCGGUAAUACGGAGGGUGCAAGCGUUACUCGGAAUCACUGGGCGUAAAGAGAUCGUAGGCGGGAUAGCAAGUCAGAUGUGAAAUCCUAUGGCUUAACCAUAGAACGGCAAUUGAAACUGUUAUUCUAGAGUAUGGGAGAGGUAGGUGGAAUUCGUGGUGUAGGGGUGAAAUGCGUAGAGAUCAAGAGGAAUACUCAUUGCGAAGGCGACCUGCUAGAACAUAACUGACGCUGAUGCGCGAAAGCGUGGGGAGCAAACAGGAUUAGAUACCCGAGUAGUC
rnacentral:rRNA from 1 species